UUAGACAUCGAGCACUGUUCCUGGCUAACGUAGUUGUUAGCUUUCCGUACCACCGGGAUUUCGCCGACCGUGUAACGUCGUCGGAGUCUCGUUCAACAUUCUUCUGGCCGGGUCUUUUGCGGAGUUCUGAUUGAGGACAGCGCUGAGAUUAGCGUGCCUUCAGUGGAGUGGAUUCCAUUAAGGUGCCCUGACUUCCGAAAGUGCUGGAAAAGGGGUACAGUGGUGGUGGCGAGCAAACCAAAAGAAUAUACAGGUAUAUUACAUUUGACAAACUGUUUUUUUUUUGACUGAUUAGUGUUGGUAAUGUUAAGAGGAAUUUAAUUUGUAAGACAAGAGUUGACGAGAACAUUUUGUGUUUAGUUAUUUAAUUCAGAUUGAAA